UACGUAGGGGGCAAGCGUUGUCCGGAAUCAUUGGGCGUAAAGCGUGCGUAGGCGGUUCGGUAAGUCCGCUGUGAAAGUCGGGGGCUUAACCCUCGGAUGCCGGUGGAUACUGUCGGGCUUGAGUACGGAAGAGGCGAGUGGAAUUCCUGGUGUAGCGGUGAAAUGCGCAGAUAUCAGGAGGAACACCAAUUGCGAAGGCAGCUCGCUGGGACGUUACUGACGCUGAGACGCGAAAGCGUGGGGAGCAAACAGG
rnacentral:rRNA from 1 species